AGCAAUACGUCAGCGGCAGACGGGUGAGUAACGCGUGGGAACGUACCUUUUGGUUCGGAACAACACAGGGAAACUUGUGCUAAUACCGGAUAAGCCCUUACGGGGAAAGAUUUAUCGCCGAAAGAUCGGCCCGCGUCUGAUUAGCUAGUUGGUGAGGUAAUGGCUCACCAAGGCGACGAUCAGUAGCUGGUCUGAGAGGAUGAUCAGCCACAUUGGGACUGAGACACGGCCCAAACUCCUACGGGAGGCAGCAGUGGGGAAUAUUGGACAAUGGGGGCAACCCUGAUCCAGCCAUGCCGCGUGAGUGAUGAAGGCCCUAGGG
rnacentral:rRNA from 1 species